AUUGCGCUCAAUUUUACGUUUUAUCUAUAUUAUUAUUUCUGGUUGAUACAGAUAAUGAGCAAAAUUCAUGCAAUUUUUGCGCGUUAAGUUUCGUAUUUGUGUUGAUAUUUCCUCUCUCAUUUACAUAAGGUAGAAAUGAUUAUAAAGGGUUUAUUUAGGAGAUAUGAGAGGAGGAAUCCAGUGAAUCCAACGAUCGGAGCCUUUUGGGGCGUUGGAAUAGGCAUUGGUUGCGGUGUAGGAUGGGGCCCUGGCUUUGGUCAUGAGGUAGUUGGCUACGUUGGAGCCGGCUGUGGUGCUGGAUUUAAUGUGGGGAUCACUUUUCUUGGUGUUGGCCUUGGUCUUCCUGCUAAUUACCUAUUUAGGGCCCCUCAUAGUGAAUUAUCAGUUGAAAAGAAAGGUUCUAGUCUAACUGGAAGCAGAAGUACCAUGGAAGACGAUAGAACAGGCAUAUCUGGCACACAACAAAGUCAAGGUGCAUCAUUUUCAGGUUUCAAAGUUGACAGUUUGAAGAACUUUAGAGAUUUACCGGAUGUCAGAAGCAUGUUUGCUUCCUAUUCUAAGCAUGUAACUGAUUGUUUACAUAGAGUCACUGGAAGGCUUAAUCCCUCUGGAUAGAGGUCCAACGAGUAUAACAAUCAUGAAUCAUCAGAUGAAAUUCUUCUAUCCUGAUGAUAUAAGAGGAUUUGACCUUUUUGCUAAAACGAUGGGAAAAUAUACCUCCAAAUUCUUAUUAGUUCAGAUUGAAGCGGAAUGGUUCUUGUAGAUAUAGUUUGUCUGAUGCUGAAGCCUGUGUGUGAAAAAUGGUGCCUAUUCUGCUGUGUAUUCAUAUGUAAGUGCCAUCGCAAUUCGCUUAAAUCUAAGCCUAUUUGUACACUCCAUAAUCCAUUGUUUGUUUGGUAGUAGGUACAGACGUACAGUAUUUAAAUUAAAUAUACUUAUUGUUGGUUA